GACAGAGGGUGCAAACGUUGUUCGGAAUUACUGGGCGUAAAGCGCGUGUAGGCGGCUUUGCAAGUCGGGUGUGAAAGCCCUCAGCUCAACUGAGGAAGUGCGCCCGAAACUGCAGAGCUUGAGUACCGGAGAGGAUGGCGGAAUUCCCCAAGUAGAGGUGAAAUUCGUAGAUAUGGGGAGGAACACCGGUGGCGAAGGCGGCCAUCUGGACGGAUACUGACGCUGAGACGCGAAAGCGUGGGGAGCAAACAGG
rnacentral:rRNA from 1 species